UUGUCUGCAGCUUUGGAAGACAUUUGUGCUUAAGGUGAGAAACUUUGGUUGCUUGCUUUUGGGUUUUGUUGUAGAAUUAAUUAAUUUUUUUUAAGAGUUACAUUCGUGGGAAUUCUUUUGUUCUUCUUUUUUCCUGCAUCUCAAAAAUGCCACAUAAUGUGAGUUUAUAAUUAAAUAAGAAUAUCAAAAUGGGUUUUCUGUGCAAAUUUUCUUUUUCUGAUUUUAUAGAACCGAAGAGGAUGUUAACAAUAACAUUAUUGUGUGAUAUGCGAUCUAAAGUUCUUUGGUGAGUUAUUUGGUUUUCUUGCCACAUGGGAUUUUAACAUAUUUUUUUUUCGUGGUUUAUGCGUGGUUCUCUGAUAUGUUUUGAUUUUUUAUUUCAGGAAAAGUUAACGAUACGAUCAAACGUUUACUGGUGAAUUUUCUAUUUUUCUGAUUGUGUGUGAUUUAAUUUUUUUCAAGCUUUGGGUGUACUUUUCUGAACUGCUUUGAUUUUUAGUUGCAGCAAAAGUUGUUGCUCGAAUUUUCCAGUUUUUAUCUGCAGCUUUGCAAGCUCUUUAUCAACAAGGUAUAUAAUUUUUAUUCUUUUUCCUGAAUCUUUUGUUGGAUGGAAUCGUUUUUUUUGUUUUUGGUGAGUUCUUCUAAUCUCGCAUCUGGUACUGUUUUUUUUUCCGACUGUAUAGAUUGUGUUUUGUUGAAUUUUAAAUGGUAGAAGCUUCUUGGGUUCAAUUUAAAUGGGUUGUUAUCAACUAUUGAAUUGUUUUCGAAGCUAUUUGGCUACUCCCUUAACGCCCUUUUUCCUUUUCUUUUCAGCUUCUUUGAUUUGCAGCCCCCUUCUUUUUUUUCCUUUUCCAGAUUUAGCUUUUUUCCCCUAUAUUGUAUCUUUUGGCUAAUUUUGUGGGUCUUGGUCAGUGCUGUGGGUAUUGGUGAAUUUCUAGCAUGUUUAUGCAUGCAGUUUUUGUUAUAAUUUAUGGAUUGUGUUUUGUUCAAUUUUUAAAUGUCAGAAGCUCUUAAUUUUUUUGGGUUCAAUUUUAAAUGGGUUGUUAUCAACCAUUGAAUUUCUUUUGGAGUAUUCAUUUGAUAAGAGAGAUGGGGGGGGGGGGGGGUUCUUUUGGGUGAAACUUUUGAUCCGUGAGAUUUUUAGUUAGGUUGUGGUGUGGGUUUUCGCAAAUUUCUAUCGUGUUUAUGCAUGCUUUUUUUUGUUAUAGAUUUGGAAGAACAUAGCAUUACAGGGUGUUGAGGGUUUGCUGGCGGGGGAAAGUAGCAGCGUUAAGAUUUUGCAGGUGAGAUAUUAGGGUGAGAGAAUAACGGGACAAAGAGCAUCGAAGACACAUUUGGGAUUAGGGGUAGCAAAACAGGGGAAAAGAAUAUGACAGAGGAAUGGACUCUUAAUUUUUUUUCUUAACUGGUUUGGGAUUUUGCUUGCCUUUGGGGUCGUUGUUGGCGUCAAGCCAUUUGGUGGUGUUAAGUGGUGUCUGUUUUUUCAUAACUUUUAUUACUAAUUUUUAUGUUGUUUGCGAUUUUGUGUCCUGGGAUUUCUGAAUUUUAUCGUUCAUUGUCGGUUUUUUAAAUUUUUUUUUGUCUUCAUUUGUUUGUUUAAUAUGUUGUGUUUGUCCUGGGACGCCGUUUUGCAAGUUUUCUUUCCAUUGGGACCGCUACAUUUUAUAAGUGAUGCGGGUGAGGUUUAGAUACUCAAAACACUCCAUUUUUUUUUUUUUCCAAACAUGCACGUUUGGUUCUCUUCGGUUUUAAAUGUUUAAAAUUAAAUGGUUAUUUUGAUAAAAUGGUUUAUUAGUUUUUCUUAUGUGUUAUGAUCAGGAAUUCAAUUGGAUUGGGUAAAAUGCUUUAUCAAUUUACACUAUAGGGAAUUUUAUG
rnacentral:lncRNA from 1 species